rnacentral:rRNA from 1 species
UUGCUAGCUUGCUAUAAUUCUCUAGUGGCGCACGCGGUGAGUAACACGUGAGUAACCUGCCCCCGAGAGCGGGAUAGCCCUGGGAAACUGGGAUUAAUACCGCAUAGUAUCGAAAGAUUAAAGCAGCAAUGCGCUUGGGGAUGGGCUCGCGGCCUAUUAGUUAGUUGGUGAGGUAACGGCUCACCAAGGCGAUGACGGGUAGCCGGUCUGAGAGGAUGUCCGGCCACACUGGAACUGAGACACGGUCCAGACACCUACGGGUGGCAGCAGUCGAGAAUCAUUCACAAUGGGGGAAACCCUGAUGGUGCGACGCCGCGUGGGGGAAUGAAGGUCUUCGGAUUGUAAACCCCUGUCAUGUGGGAGCAAAUUAAAAAGAUAGUACCACAAGAGGAAGAGACGGCUAACUCUGUGCCAGCAGCCGCGGUAAUACAGAGGUCUCAAGCGUUGUUCGGAAUCACUGGGCGUAAAGCGUGCGUAGGCUGUUUCGUAAGUCGUGUGUGAAAGGCGCGGGCUCAACCCGCGGACGGCACAUGAUACUGCGAGACUAGAGUAAUGGAGGGGGAACCGGAAUUCUCGGUGUAGCAGUGAAAUGCGUAGAUAUCGAGAGGAACACUCGUGGCGAAGGCGGGUUCCUGGACAUUAACUGACGCUGAGGCACGAAGGCCAGGGGAGCGAAAGGGAUUAGAUACCCCUGUAGUCCUGGCAGUAAACGGUGCACGCUUGGUGUGCGGGGAAUCGACCCCCUGCGUGCCGGAGCUAACGCGUUAAGCGUGCCGCCUGGGGAGUACGGUCGCAAGAUUAAAACUCAAAGAAAUUGACGGGGACCCGCACAAGCGGUGGAGUAUGUGGCUUAAUUCGAUGCAACGCGAAAGACCUUACCUGGGCUUG